rnacentral:rRNA from 1 species
GCCCUUAGAGUUUGAUCCUGGCUCAGGAUGAACGCUGGCGGUAUGCUUUACGCAUGCAAGUCGUACGAGAGUUUUUAACUCAAGUGGCGGACGGGUGAGUAACACGUAAGAAUUUGCCUUUAGGAGGGGGAUAACAACUGGAAACGGUUGCUAAUACCCCAUAUGCUUUCGAGUAAAAUGGAUUUUCCGCCUAAAGAGAAGCUUGCGGCUGAUUAGCUUGUUGGUGAGGUAAUGGCUCACCAAGGCGACGAUCAGUAUCUGGUUUGAGAGGACGAUCAGACACACUGGAACUGAGACACGGUCCAGACUCCUACGGGAGGCAGCAGUGGGGAAUUUUCCGCAAUGGGCGAAAGCCUGACGGAGCAAUACCGCGUGAGGGAUGACGGCCUAUGGGUUGUAAACCUCUUUUUUCAGGGAGGAAUCAAUGACGUGUACCUGAAGAAUAAGCAUCGGCUAACUCCGUGCCAGCAGCCGCGGUAAGACGGAGGAUGCAAGUGUUAUCCGGAAUCACUGGGCGUAAAGCGUCUGUAGGUGGUCAAAUAAGUCAACUGUUAAAUCUUGAGGCUCAACCUCAAAAUCGCAGUCGAAACUAUUCGACUAGAGUAUAGUAGGGGUAAAGGGAAUUUUCCAGUGGAGCGGUGAAAUGCGUAGAGAUUGGAAAGAACACCGAUGGCGAAAGCACUUUACUGGGCUAUUACUAACACUGAGAGACGAAAGCUAGGGUAGCAAAUGGGAUUAGAUACCCCAGUAGUCCUAGCCGUAAACAAUGGAUACUAGAUGUUGAACAGAUCGACCUGUGCAGUAUCAAAGCUAACGCGUUAAGUAUCCCGCCUGGGAAGUAUGCUCGCAAGAGUGAAACUCAAAUGAAUUGACGGGGAAGGGC